rnacentral:lncRNA from 1 species
UUUGUAGACCUGGGUGGCCUUAAACUCAGAGAUCUGCCUGCCUCUGCCUCCCAAGUGGUGUGUGCCACCACCAUCCAACCAAGAGAUGAGUAGCUGUUAAAGGCUAGGCUCACAACCAAAAAUAUAAGACAUGCCUUUUAAUUUUCUUUCUUUCUUUUCCCUCCUCUCUCUGCUCCCCGUUCUUUUUGAGUGCUAGGGAUGGAAUCCACUGAACUGUAGCCCCAGUCCUGGAAAAUCGGGGGCUUCUUCUGAUAAAAAGCAGUGACUUUUUACUUGAGCCUCCCAUGCCUGGAGGGUAGUUUAAAACAGAACAAAACCUUGUCAUCUCUGUCUCCAUUUUGUCUUUUUCUAUUACUCUGUUCUUCUGACUUGCAGUCCUUUUAGGCUCCAGGAGAAAGAGGUUGUUAUAAGUUGAGAUGAACAGCACCACCACCACCACCACCACCAAGCAACAGCACCACCACCACCAAGCAACAGCACCACCACCACCACCAAGCAACAGCACCACCACCACCACCAAGCAACAGCACCACCACCACCACCACCAAGCAACAGCACCACCACCACCACCAAGCAACAGCACCGUCUUUUUAUUAGGGACAAGACCAAGACUGACUAGUCCUGGGCUAGCCAUCAACCAGACCACAGGCUGACCAACACCUUCUGCAUCUCAAGAUGGCCUUGAACUCGCUGUGCAGCUGAGGCUGACCACCUCGUGAUCCUCCUGCCCCGACAUUCCAAACGCAGAGAUGACAGGCAGGCACCAGGACACUCCGCUGUGAACUCCUUACUGACAGCCUUCCCUGGGCCUCCCUCUCUGACCUGUCUUCUCUGCCCACUGUGCUUCCCAUAUCUUCAGAGACUCACCUUCUGACCCCCAUCGCCCCAUGGGUACCCAAAGCCACUCACUCAGCCUGAUUCUCAGCAAACCUUGGGCUGGUCCACUAGUUCCUGUUGGCAAACUUCUUGGACCUCCCAUUGCUUCGUCUCUGCCCCCGGCCCUUCGAUCCCGGCUGUCAUUAUACCCCAUUUAACUUCCACUGACCUCUCAGUAGGUCCGACCAUCCAAUUAGUCCCCAUUGAUCCCCCCAACUGAAUCCUUUAUGACUUUCAUGGUGCCUCUGGCCAGCUUCCUACUGAAUCAUUUUAUGAUUCCUAAUGACUGUCCCAAUUUACUAACCUCUGGUGUCUCCUAGUUCUUCUUCUUCUUCUCUCUCUCUCUUUUUUUAAUUAAUACUGAGUCUCACUGUGUUGCCCAGGCUGUUUCAAACUCCAAUCUCCUGCCUCAGGCUCAGGAGUAAUUAUGACAAGUGUCACUGCACUCCACUUUAAUCCCAGCCUCUCCCUCUUCCCCUCUCCCACAGUGCUGGAGAUGGAACCCAGGGUCCUGCACGUUAGUUAAGUGUUCUCCUACCAAAUUGUGUUAUUGUUGUUUCAAGACAGGAACUCCGUGGCUGCAAACUUGAACUUGUUACUUAGACCAGGCUGGUCUUCAACUAGCUGUAUAAUCCAGAAUAGCAUAGAGUUUUUGACCCUACCACCUCAGCUUUCCAAGUAGCCUCUCAAGCAGGCUGACACAAAUUAGUGAAAUUCUUUACCGAUCACUGAAAUGAAAAGUACCAGAGAACAUGGCAGUGUGACUCUGAUGGAUUCCAGACCCUUGGUUUUCUAAUGCCUUCUUCAUUCGCCUCUCUGAUCCUGUCAGGUGACUUCUAAUUGACAUUACUGCGGCUUUUCGGGACCCUGUUUCUUGUGUUCUAGUCUCUUCUGUUACCCUGGGUUGCUCCUUCCCACAACCUCCGGCUUUCUUCCUUAUCCACCCAUAAGUAUCCUGCCAGGGGACUCUGUUCUCUACCCCACACCGUCUGUGUCUCUACAGUAGUGUCAUCCGGGGCCUGUGACACUACUGCCGCCACAGCCCACCCCAGCCUCGAGGUGGUUCCUGCAGAUUGUGUUCCCAGACCACUGGAGCAUAAAAGCAAGAGCUACGCUGGGCGCAGCGCCAGUGACAGCUACUGCUGUGAGUGUGACCAAUGUGCGUGUGACAAGGGCUCGGUGCUGAGCAGUGCCACCUGUGUUGGUGACUGCAGCUAAGCAGUGUGUGGGCGGAAACCUCCUGCUGAGCGCAGUCUGGUACCCUGAACCUGGCUGCAGCCGCAGGAUCUGGGGCAAGAGGUGAACAAAGGCGCAUGCGCAGCCCGUUCUCGUUGCCCAGUCUCAAGAGAGGCCUACAAUGCUGUCUAGUUCUAUGUCAACUUUUGUUUUGUUUUGUUUUUUCGAGACUGUGUUUCUCUGUGUAGCCCUGGCUGCUCUGUUAGACCAGGCUGGCCUUGAACUCAGAGAUCUGCCUGUUUCUACCCCAUGAGUGCUGUGAUUAAAGGCAUGUACCACCA